UACGUAGGUGGCAAGCGUUGUCCGGAUUUACUGGGCGUAAAGAGCGCGCAGGCGGUCGUUCAAGUCGCGUGUGAAAGCCCCCGGCUCAACUGGGGAGGGUCACGCGAUACUGAUCGACUCGAAGGCAGGAGAGGGUAGUGGAAUUCCCGGUGUAGUGGUGAAAUGCGUAGAUAUCGGGAGGAACACCAGUGGCGAAGGCGACUACCCGGCCUGUUCUUGACGCUGAGGCGCGAAAGCUAGGGGAGCAAACGGG
rnacentral:rRNA from 1 species